rnacentral:rRNA from 1 species
UACAGGGGGGGCAAGCGUUGUUCGGAAUUACUGGGCGUAAAGCGUGCGCAGGCGGUGAUGUAAGACAGGUGUGAAAUCCCCGGGCUUAACCUGGGAACUGCAUUUGUGACUGCAUCGCUGGAGUGCGGCAGAGGGGGAUGGAAUUCCGCGUGUAGCAGUGAAAUGCGUAGAUAUCCGGAGGAACACCGGUGGCGAAGGCGGCUUCCUGGACCGACACUGACGCUGAGGCGCGAAAGCUAGGGGAGCAAACGGG